rnacentral:rRNA from 1 species
UACGGAGGAUGCGAGCGUUAUCCGGAUUUAUUGGGUUUAAAGGGUGCGUAGGCGGACUGUCAAGUCAGCGGUAAAAUUGAGAGGCUCAACCUCUUCCCGCCGUUGAAACUGGUGGUCUUGAGUGGAUGAGAAGUACGCGGAAUGCGUGGUGUAGCGGUGAAAUGCAUAGAUAUCACGCAGAACUCCGAUUGCGAAGGCAGCGUACCGGCAUCCAACUGACGCUGAGGCACGAAAGCGUGGGGAUUAAACAGG